GAUGAACGCUGGCAGUGUGCCUUAGACAUGCAAGUCGAACGAAGAGCUUUAAACAGAUCUUUCGAGUGAUGUUUUUGGUUUCUUAGUGGCGAACGGGUGAGUAACACGUGGGUAUCUGCCCUCAAGUACGGCAUGACAGUUGGAAACGGCUGCUAAUACCGUAUGUGCUCUACGGAGUAAAGAUUUAUCGCUUGAGGAUGAGCCCGCGGCACAUCAGCUUGUUGGUGGGGUAAUGGCCUACCAAGGCGACGACGUGUAGCCGACCUGAGAGGGUGACCGGCCACAGGGGUACUGAGACACGGACCCCACUCCUACGGGAGGCAGCAGUUAGGAAUCUUCCACAAUGGGCGCAAGCCUGAUGGAGCGACACUGCAUGAAGGAUGAAGGUUUUAGGAUCGUAAACUUCUGAACUAGGGACGAUAAUGACGGUACCUAGGUAAUAGCACCGGCUAACUCUGUGCCAGCAGCCGCGGUAAUACAGAGGGUGCGAGCGUUAUCCGGAAUCACUGGGCGUAAAGGGCACGUAGGCGGUUUAUUAAGUCCGAUGUUAAAGCGUGAGGCUCAACCUCAUCACGGCGUUGGAUACUGAUAGACUUGACUUCUGGAGAGGAAAGUAGAAUUACUGGUGUAGCGGUGAAAUGCGUAGAUACCAGUAGGAAUACCCAUUGCGAAGGCAGCUUUCUGGACAGAUAGUGACGCUGAGGUGCGAAAGUGUGGGGAGCAAACCGGAUUAGAUACCCGGGUAGUCCACACCCUAAACGAUGCAUACUUGGUGUCAGCCCGUUGGGGUUGGCGCCGGAGCUAACGCGUUAAGUAUGCCGCCUGGGAAGUACGGCCGCAAGGUUG
rnacentral:rRNA from 1 species